rnacentral:rRNA from 1 species
UACGAAGGGUGCAAGCGUUACUCGGAAUUACUGGGCGUAAAGCGUGCGUAGGUGGUGAGUUAAGUCUGUCGUGAAAGCCCCGGGCUCAACCUGGGAAUGGCGAUGGAUACUGGCUCGCUAGAGUGCGGUAGAGGAGAGUGGAAUUCCCGGUGUAGCAGUGAAAUGCGUAGAGAUCAGGAGGAACAUCAGUUGCGAAGGCGGCUCUCUGGGCCGGAACUGACGCUGAGGAGCGAAAGCGUGGGGAGCAAACAGG